CAGCUCGAAGGGACGCAAGAACCUGGUUGGAGGGACGGCGUGGCGGGCGGGUGGGAGGCUGGUCGCCUGAGCCCACGGCUUCCGGCGGCCAGACCCACGUUCUGCUGGUCGCUCUGAGGAGUGACGUGGAGGGGUCUCCUAGCGGCUCCUCCGGGCUGAGGUCCUGAGUGUCUAUAGAAGCUGAGGUCCAUCAAUCUCCAUUCUUCAAAAUGCAAUGGAAUGUACCAAAGACUGUAUGCCGACUGGCACAUAGGACGUGCAUGGAACCACAUAAAGCCGGUCUUUUGGGACACUGUCAAAACAUAAAGGGACCAUUACUUUUGUAUACCUUGGAAUCCAGAGUGGUUGUGGUACAAGGCCCUCAGAAACGGUCGCUGCACUUACCCACUGCCCAGUGUGUUGCAAAGGAAAGGAAGCCAUUCAUUGCUGUUCCAUCCCAACCAGGGGUCUUUCACCAUAAACAGUGGGAGCAGGAUAUCUUAUCCAAGAGAGUUCUGUCAUCCAGUGCCACAUCCUCAGGACCUCCCUCCGAAAAAAAGGAAGAACCUGAUCCGUUACAAGACAGAUCUAUUAGUCUUUAUCAGCGAUUUAAGAAAACAUUUAGACAAUAUGGAAAAGUUUUGAUUCCAGUGCAUCUAAUAACUUCUGCUGUUUGGUUUGGAACAUUUUAUUAUGCAGCCAUAAAAGGAGUGAAUGUCGUUCCUUUUCUAGAACUUAUUGGGUUACCUGACAGUAUAGUGAACAUUCUGAAAAAUUCCCAGAGUGGAAAUGCACUAACAGCAUAUGCCCUGUUUAAGAUUGCAACGCCUGCACGGUACACUGUAACUCUCGGGGGGACCUCCUUCACUGUGAAGUAUCUGCGUAGCCGGGGCUACAUGUCGACACCACCCCCCGUGAAGGAGUACCUGCAAGACAAGAUGGAGGAAACAAAGGAGCUCCUCACAGAGAAGAUGGAAGAGACAAAGGACAGACUCACUGAAAAACUGCAAGAAACCAAAGGAAAGGUUUCUCUUAAGAAAAAAGUGGAAUAGGGUGCCUUAUAUACCAGGUUUUAGACAGUUCUUGCACUUGAACCUUUGGAGACUAUGGACAAAGGGCAUGUUUUCCAAUGAGGAUAAAUCGUGGGUCUAAGAAGCUGCGUUUCUACCUUUGGUUCAGUCCAGUGGAGAUCUGCUGCCAUCCAGUUUCAUAACUCUGUUGUGUUUGUUCAAUUACAGAACGUGAGACACUGGGGAAUGCUUUGAAAUUCUCUAGUAAAAUGUUCUCUGAAGGUGUAAGAAGUUCUUGUAUCAUAUUUGGUAUCAGGAAUACUUGAUCUUGUCAAACACUGCUGCUCUCAUCUUGCCAACCUAGUCCUUAAGGGAAGCUACAGAGAGCUGAAAGGGGGACCCCUGGAGUGUCUACGUGGAGUGUUUGUAGCAGGCCAGUAGCACAUAGUGGGCACUGAGUUAAAUUAUCCAGAGUGUGUAUGUGUGGUAAGUAUCACGACCCAUUUCAUUUACAGUAAGCCUUAAACUUGCUGUGUCUGGUGUGUGCAUCUGUUUUUAAAUAGGAUUACUAACAAGGUAAAGAAGGAGUCAUAGCUGAGACUUAAUGUCUACAAAAUGGAAAAAAGUGCUCAAAAAAUUAACAAUUGAAAUGAAAAACAGAUUAGGUUAAAAAAAGAGAGACCAUUCAAGAAAAAUAGUGAAACCAACCUUUUUAAGUAUCAAAACAAUUUUUUUUUUUUUUUACUGACUCAACAUUUUGCAUGUAGCAGAGUGCUGUUUGCAGCUCCCAACAAAGGGAAAAGAGUACAUGUAUUAAGGUCACCUUCCUGCCACUAGUGAAAAUAAUAAGACUAUGCCUUCAAAUACAGUCUUUAGUUUGUUGUGGAAUCUACCUUCUAUUUAUUUACAGACAGAAGAUGUUACUGUAGUCCUUUAUGCUCCAGUAAGAUAUGGAGCUGGCUGUCUCAUUUCAGUGAUAUUAGGAGGUAAUUCCAGGAAUUUUACAAAGAUCUUAACAGUUUGGGUAGAAGAGGUAUUUAAAGAAAACAGACAAGUCGUAUAUUAGAUACAUCUAGCUCUUUCGAAGUAAAAUGUCAAACACUAUAAUGAAAGAUCUUUAUGAUGUUUUAAGUAACAGAUUAGUUAUUAACUGUUAUGUGCAAGUAUCAUCAUGGAAAGUCAGAGAAAGUGUCUGUUCCAAGGCCACUGUGAGUGGAUCGCUGAAGGUUCUUUUUCAAAGAUGUCUCCCAAAGUUUCAGUGAGAGGGCUGACUGAGUUGCUAGUCCAUUUGCUUAGCAGUUGGCAGCUCUGUUGUUUCACAAACGAUCCAAUGAACAGAAGUCAGUCCAAGAAAGCCGGAGACUGGGGGGUGGGUCUGGGGUCCAGUGCAGCCCCCCAGGUGCAGUGGGAGCUCCCUAUGUAUGGGGGGGGAGGGGGGGAAGGAGCCCAUUCCCCACCAAGGAGGUAGGUGUUGGGCUCUGUCACAUCUUGUGCUGAGUGUAGCCUAAGUGGAAAAUGGCAGGUGCAGUCCUUGGCAUUUCUGUCCCUGCCCAGGCAGCAAGCAGUACCUGGGCUUUGGAGAACCCAUGUGGGGUUCCUUGGCCUCCAGUGCUUCAGCUCCAGCCUGAUGGACAGCUCCUGAACCCCCAGCAGCUUCCCAGCCUCUUGUCUGCUUUCGGCCUGGGGCUUCUGUAAUCUUCAGGGUCUUCCACUGUAUAGCCAGCCAGGGCUGUAGGAAGGGUCCCCCAGGCCCCGAUGAUGGAGAUUUCAGCGUCCCGCCUGCUGCCCUCCAGCACAGCCUCUCAUUCCUCAGGGCUACGCAGAGCCCUGCUGCCUAGAUGGACACCAGUGGGUCCUCUCUGACCGUCUGCUGCCACCCCUGGAGCAGCUCGAGGUAACCUCCCUGCACCUGGACCUUAGACCCAGCCAACCAGGCAACCACACGUAGAAAUGGGUUUACUGAACCCAAACCAGUAGGAAUCAAGCCCAACUGUGAGCAAAGUUUAUAUACUGGUCUUACUUCACUGAGGGAUAGAAGUUUGGGGGAAAAGUCUUUAAAUUUUCUUAAAUAACUGCUAAGUAAGAAAUAAAAUGUAUUCAAUAGCAUAAUGUGGUUUGUCAGUGACUGCUAUUUUAAGAGAAAGAAAUCCUUUUCUUACAGCUAUUUUCCUCCUCAUAGUUUCCUAAUCCCCUUUCCAAAAUAAUCUAAAAAAUAAUUCAGAAUCUGAAAUGAGUGUUUGUUAUAGGAGCUCCUUGGCAGUCUAGUGAUUAAGACUCCAUGCUUUCACUGCCGUGGCCCAGUUUUAAGCCCUGCUCAGAAAACGAAGAUCCUGCAACCCACAUGGCGUGACCAAAACAAAAAUGGGUUUAUAACUAGAGUUUUGGGCCCAGGCAGUUAUUUAAAUGGUACUUUAAGAUUUCAGUUUCCAAAGUUCAUUUACUAAUGUAUAGAAAUGCAAAAAUAUAUUAAUUUUUUAUAUUAAAUUUUUUUCCUGCAAUGAAGCUAAACUCAGUUAUACGCAUUUCAGUAUUCUUGCUUGGAGAAGUCUAUGGACAGAGGCGUCUGGUGGGUCACAGUUCAUGUAUCGCAAAAAGUUGGACACGACUGAACAACUAACAUUUACACACACUUUUGGUGGAUUGUAUGAGGCUUUGUACAUUCUCAAUCAUGUGAUCUGUGAAUCUAUGUACUUAUUUGGAGCUUAGAGUUAUCAUUCUCAUCUCUCAGUGAAGGAGUCUUGAAUUCCUUUUGCUCCGUCAUCAUGAACUGAAAACUGAUACAAAAGACCUCAGCCUCUGAGGGCAUCUGCUGAACAGUUCCUAUUAGUUUCAUUCACAUUUUCUGCUGAGCUGACUCCAGUUUGUAACAGCGUCCAGAAACCUGAAGUGACACCUGUCAGGUGACAAUCCCUGAAUUUCCUGUGUAGAAACCAGAACUGUAUGAUGUGAUCUGCCAGUGUUGUUUAUAGCAGAAUAUAAUUUCUGAAAAGUCAGAAUAAGAACCAAAUAAGCAUCAGAAACAUUUCUGAGACGAUUGUUUAAGUACUUACAGUGCCCACCACCCCCGGCCAAUAUAUAUUGUGAAAAGAUUUUUUGUGUAAAAAAAACAGGAGACACAUGUAUCACUGAUUAUUUUUAAUGAUUUUAAGCUGCAGUUCAACCACAGCAUUAAAAACAGUCAGAAAGGGCUGAUUUCAUAACACACAGCACUAGAGCAUCAUUGUCCUUUAGGGAUUGUGAUUACAGACCUUGGGUCUAGGAACUGUAUCAUCACUCAGACAGGCAGGUACAAAACAGCUGGAAAUCUUUGUGUAUAACUGGGAAUUCUGUUGAACAGUAAGCACAAAUGGCUGUUUAAAAAAAAGACCAUGACUUUGGAUUAUCAUAGGUCAUAUGAACCUAUGAUAUUGAACCUAAUGACUAUUGAAAAGUUCAGUUACAACUGUACUUGUCAUUAUAAAGCAGCCUAGUGAAAGUGAACUAAAUGCUAUUAAUAGUAUUACACAUAUUUAAAAAUAGCUUUAAUAUCAGAAAGUGUGAUUUUUGAAAACCAUGAAAUGAAGAAUAGUAAUACAGGAGGCAAACACAUUAAAAUGAACCAGCAUCAUUAACAGUAAAGUUUAAGCCUCGAUUAGUCUUGUAGAAAGGAAGCCAUGCUGUGUACCAGGUUUAGUGCUUCAGACAACCUGCUCAGCAUCCUGUGGGGGGAAGAGGUUCUGACAGGGAGGAGCCUCCACCCUUGACUUGAGCCACCAGGCCCCUGCUGCUAGCAGUGAGCAGACAGCAGGGGCUCUGAGUGCAAGAAACACAGACCCUCAUCAUCUUGUGGGCCCUGAAAAUGACAGCUGAAGGACUGACCUCUGGUCUGUUAGCAUCAAGAGCUGCAGAGGCACUUUCAGUACUUAUUUUGUGGAUGAGAGUAUGAUUCUGUCAUGAUUUUCAAAUCAGAACACCUACUGCAGAACAAAAAACGAUUAACUAGAAUUAACAUCCUCUGAUGACAGAAUAAACUGGAAGUAUGGAUCAGAUGGGCAGUAUUUCACCAGUGACCUCCAUGGACAGAACUUGGAAGGAGGCCCACACCCAGAGUUUCAUCAGUGGUUUUAGUGAAUGUUGUCACUUCUUUCUUUUUUGACUAUUAGAAUGUUUGAAGAUAAACACAAAGGUCACUGUCAGAAUCGCGAGAGCUGGAAGUAGAUGCUUUGUCGGGGAAUGAUGUGGUCCCUGGUCAAUGGCAAAGCCUAGUUUGGUUCCUAGUUUGGUAGUUAUCACCAGGAGAUAUCAAAGGGAGGGGAUUUAAGACUUCACUCAGCUGGCUGACUGCCAGUCUGCUCAUUAUAACCUGUAACACAUUUUUCUGAGAAUGGGGUCUUCUCAAGUGGACUGGUUUGUUAGUUAUUUUUCUGCAAACACUACUGCUCAUUCAAUGGUUCACAGCUUCCAUUUGUCAAAAAGGCAGAGACAGAUGGUCACAAAUGCAUCUAGACUGCACAAUCCUUGCUGCAGGCCACUGUGCUCACUCUAACAAGUUUUGCAAAGUUUUGCAAUUUUAAUGAAAAGUGCGUUCUUCACUGGGUCUGCCCUCUUCAUUCUACAACGUAAGAUAGAAUAUGUUUUCAUAAAGCAAAUUGAAAAAUCAGCAUUUUUUCUGACUAUAAUACUGGUCCAACUGAACUUGAAGGGAUUAAAAAGAAACAUCUGGUGGCCCCAGAAGGCUACAGAAUUUUAAAAACUUAUUUCUUAAAAAGUGUUUUCACAGCAAAGAUGCAACUCUGAUUGCUGUACAUAGGCUGUGCUUGCUUGUUCACACUUAUUUCCCUUGUGUUAUAAUAUUGAUAUUUAAUAAGAAAAUAAAUGACAUAGACUUUAUCUGUAUGCAUCCACUAGCAGAUUUCCUUACAAAAGAGGACAAAGCACAUAGGCAUUCACAAAUUCUAUGCCAUUUCUGUUAAAUCUGGUACCUAUACAUUAUAUUGCAGUACCGUUUUUGUUCCACCCAUUGGGUAGGAUAUGUGCAUAAUCUGGUCAAGUUAUAUAUACAGCACCUAACAAAAUGAAUGCAUGACAGACACUGAAAGCACCGUUAUGAGUGAGGCAUGACGCGCAUCAGCUGAAGUUAGAAUAUGUGGCACUUCAGUUAGUAAAACUGCUGCACUCUGAGCUCUGUGGAAGGAUGUGAGUCCUCAUCACCUGCAUCUCUGGACAGUUCUCACCCAGCACCGUGCACACUGAGGACAGCACCGCUCACAAGGCCUCCCUCCCUGAGCCACCCUGAAGGCAGUAGCAGCAAAUGACUGUCAAACCCUGGCCGUGAAUACAGACCCAAAAUGCAGCACUUGGGGAGUAAAAUAACCUAAGCUGAGAUCCUGAUUUCUAAGGAAUCCACGCAAGGCAGGUGAGCUGCUGGGACCCUUUCAUGGUUGGGGUGAGAGUAGGUGUUUGAUCUGCCUUUGUUGGGCCCCUUUAGACACAGUGUCCUCUCACUGGGGGGACUUGCCAAUGCAUCUCCACUUCACCAAAGCCAUGGUAACUAAGGUGACCAUGCAGAAGGGGAGCCUGGUCCCUGCUCUUCCACCAGGAAGUGGGGAGCAGGUGUCUGUCACUGCAAGGCCACACACCCAGCACUAGUAUCCUUCCCAGUUUUUUCCUCAUAGACACUGCUGAGCUUUGGAAAUUUUAAGAAAAAUGCAGGGUACACCUACAUGUCAUUGGCAACAGCAGACCUCAAGUAGCCUCAGCACCACAAACAAGGCUUGGGGAGCAGCCCCCAGCUGCCACACCUCAGCCAGGCUGACCCACACAUAAGCCAUGUGGCCAGCAGCGGACGGAGGCUGCUUUGGAGGGGUGUACGGCCCCAGCCAGCGUCUGCAGGGACACCCCCGCCAGAGAGCAGGCGGAGGUAAGGCCCGGGCCUGCCUGUCAGGAUGCAGCUUCUUGCUCUGAGGAAGGCAAAGACUGGAAUGGAUUCUGCCAGUUCUGAGUGCUUCUGCAAAGUGCUGGCCUUUGAGCCCUUCUCCUCCUUAAGACAAUAAAAUACAGAGAAAGAGCAGUAACUCGAAGUUGGAGAUGUGCUUAUCUGCACAUAGAUCCCUGUGCUGGGGUGAAAGGCCUGCAGUUUCCUGCUGGCCCCUUCCUACUAGCCCCUGUCCUCUCCCAGCUGCAGUUAGUAGAUUUAAGUGUCCUUCUGAGGACAAACCUACCUGUGUUUUGCAUGUUUUCCUCUGCUGACUGAGCUGUGUAUCCAAGUGUAUUUUUGGUGUGGACAGAGAGUAGGCCUGUCAAGCUUUUUAAACACUGACAGAAGAACUCUGUAAAUGCGUGGCUUGUUUAGCAAAAUCUCUUUUGUAGGAAAGGACAACCUCAGUGUCUGAGGAACACCAGGCUUCCUGAAAAAGUCAACAGAUGCGUGAAUCUUCCUGUAGAUGGGCCUGCUCAAGGCUCACACCCAGGGUGUUGCUGAGAUUGUGGAUCCCAGCUUCCACCCACUGCUCCCUGGUCACCUGACUCUGGCGUCUAAGCUGGACCCUCUGGCGUCUAAGCUGGACCCUCAGGCUCCACUGACCAGGCUGCAGCUUCAGAGCCAUGUCUCCUUUCCAUCCCAGGCCACACAACCUUCGACAGAGUAGAGACCUAAAUCACCUUAUCCCUGUAUGGAAAGGAGACUGACCUAAUUCAAUUUAGGACCUCAUCUUUUAAACUAAUUCAUUACAGAGGCCCAGCCUCAGAGACCAUCCAAGUCAUGCUUUGUAUAGUUACAGAUGCGGACAUCUCUAACUGUUAACAUUAGAGGCAGUUAUCUAAUAGGGUGGCUGAAAGGGAGCAACCUCUGUUUUAAAGGACAAUUAAAGUUAUUUGAAUAAUUGUUUUGCCAGUACUAAGGACAGAUGCCAGAUGUUCAGGUACUUGCAGAAAUUUACCAAUUUCUGAGCAUAAAUCACCAUUUUGAGCUAGAACCAUAGAAUGGGCUCACCCACUCUCCCAAAAGUGCUGGCGAAGUUUGGAAUGACAUCAUCAGCCAACCUUGUUCUGCACCUGGGAGGAUGCCUGACUGAAUCUGCUGCAGAUGAGGAGGACAAGCACUUCCCCAUAGUCACCACCAACUCGAGGUGAAGCCUCCAUCAAGCAAGCAUAGGCUCGUGGUCAAGGCUGUCUGACCUCGUAGGGGGAUGAAGGGGUCCCCUGGUCAGGUCCCCCAAAGCUCUGCCUGUCCUAGAGCUCCCACUGUGGCCCUCAGCAGGCACACUGCCCAACAGGAUCUGAAGCAUGAGUGACAACCGCUGACCAUUUUCUCCUAAGACAGACCAACUACUUGUGUGGAUGUCACUGUGAAGUGGACGAGGAUUCCAAUCCUCCAGACAAAACCUGGGACUUACCGGCCAAGAAGGGCCUCAGAGAGGGCAGCAGACAGGACCUGAGGUUGACAGUGCUCUGCCAGCGGCACAAGGGCACCUUGCCAGACAACCACACCCAAGACGACGACACUCAGAACUGAGUGGACACUUGGACCUGCAGGUCAGAUACCCUGCGAGACCAGGUAGGGGCUGCACAGAAGCCCCCACCUGGGUGCAGGAAAGGCAGAUGUUCUGCAGAAGGAACUUACUGUGUUAGAGGAGGAUGACUGUUACAAGAUUUAAGUCUUCUGGCUGAGUUUAGCUGCAGGUUGUGCUUUUCAAAACCCAAGGCUCUGAGUCACUCCCUGCCCAGCUCUGGUCUCCAGGAGAGCCUGAGUGACCCAGAAGCAUGGCUGGUUCUGAACCCUGCAUCUCUCCCAGGCACUGGUUCCCAUAUGGGGCUGGUUCCCUUCCUCAACUCAGGAGUUUCUACACACAGAGAACCCACAGCUAGCAUCAGGCAACACCAGGGCAGCGAGCACAUCAGAGCCACUGCCGAGUCUCAAUGAUCAGCCAUCCAGGCCUGAACUCAACUAUCCAUGGAAAGACAGACCACAGGAAACACUGAAAUCACAUGUUUCAACAGUAUAAAAAUAACCACCUUGCAUUUUAAACAAUUUAUUGCAUAAAAUAGUGUAUUAUCUGAGUAUAUUUCAUGCUACAGUGAAAAAAAAAAAUCAAUUACUGCAGAACCUGCCCUGCUGGAGGACUAGGGCAGCACUGUGUGAUGUGUGAAUGCAGGCGUGAAACACACAGCCUGAGGCUGGAGGGACUUGACCCACCAGGGAUGCGGGCGUUUCCUCUGCUCCAUCCAGUCUGCAGGUGCCCUGGUGAUGCACGCCCUGUGAUGACUCUCUUCACAAGUGUAAGUUAGCAGUAUGUUAGGCUACCUCCCCAAACACCCUUUCCUGCACAGUUAUGGGGGGAACAUUAUUAUGGGGCCUAAUAAUGAUGCACAGGUGAGAAAACAACCUACAGGACUUCACAUAAAGCUUCCUCAUGUUAAACAGUGAAGAUGGUGCAAUUUUUAAAAACACAGCAUCACAACACAGAUUUAACUCCUUGCAUUCAUCUGACUUCACCUUAUACCUUGGCACACAAA